GACGUAGGGCGCGAGCGUUGUCCGGAUUUAUUGGGCGUAAAGAGCUCGUAGGCGGCUUGUCGCGUCGUCUGUGAAAUCCCGCGGCUCAACUGCGGGCUGCAGUCGAUACGGGCAGGCUGGAGUUCGGUAGGGGAGACUGGAAUUCCUGGUGUAGCGGUGAAAUGCGCAGAUAUCAGGAGGAACACCGGUGGCGAAGGCGGGACUCUGGGCCGAUACUGACGCUGAGGAGCGAAAGCGUGGGGAGCAAACAGG
rnacentral:rRNA from 1 species